GAAAAGCCUCGUUCAGAGGCGUGAUGUAGUUAAAUACAUCCAGUUAGCAACAUGCUAAUACGACCUGUCCAUCCGAACUACAUUUUAAAAUAUUUUUGGAAUAUAAUACGCCGUUUGAGCACCAUUUGGGGCAUUAUUUGGCGUUUUAGAUACUUUAGAUACACUGAAAUCUGGAGUUUCACCUGAACGCGACUCACCUUCAGCAUGGUGGAGGAGGAGGCGUGUGAGUGAGUGAGUGAGUGAGUUUGGCAGUGUUUUUCAGCGUUUAAAGGCUUUUAUUGACGCCCAUUGUAAAUGCACACCCACGUCGUGGAUCUGAAAUCAGCUCCUCCAGUGAGACCCACCCCUCCUUUCCAAUUAGUGCAACCCCCACAGAGCACCUCAGAGGAAAGACAGAACCUCCGUUAAAUGGCCUGAACCUGCUAACCCAUGAUGAUAACCCAUCACAAAGCCCUGAGCCCCUCCUGUAUACCCAUGUGUUGGAGUCUCCUCUGAGGAGGGCAGGCUCCUCCUUCUCUCUCUUACCCACACUUAUGCUCAUGUGUCUCGCCCUGGAGAUGGAAUCGCAUCGCAGCAUCACUCUGCAUGGAACCCCCUGCCUGCCCCCGCUGAGGGAUAGAGGCACUCCACUGCCAUUUGCUAUAGUGAGCAGUAAAGUAAACGAUGGGCGGAGGAGCCAGACGAUGACCCACUGCCCUCUGCAGCCCACUCACAAUCCCAGCUGGGAGCAGACCCUCUGA
rnacentral:lncRNA from 1 species